UACGGAGGGAGCUAGCGUUGUUCGGAAUUACUGGGCGUAAAGCGCACGUAGGCGGCUUUGUAAGUUAGAGGUGAAAGCCCGGGGCUCAACUCCGGAACUGCCUUUAAGACUGCAUCGCUUGAAUCCAGGAGAGGUGAGUGGAAUUCCGAGUGUAGAGGUGAAAUUCGUAGAUAUUCGGAAGAACACCAGUGGCGAAGGCGGCUCACUGGACUGGGAUUGACACUGAGGUGCGAAAGCGUGGGGAGCAAACAGG
rnacentral:rRNA from 1 species